rnacentral:tRNA from 1 species
UGCGGAUAGCGGGAAUCGGACCCAUAUCCUCUGCUUGGGAGGCGUACAAUCUACCUUUGAUCUAUAUCCGC